UCCGCCGUAGUGUAAUAGGCAGCACCACUGAUUUUGGUUCAGUUAGUUCAGGUUCGAGUCCUGGCGGCGGAG
rnacentral:tRNA from 1 species